CUACGGGUUGCUCCAGUGGGGAAUAUUGCGCAAUGGGCGAAAGCCUGACGCAGCAACGCCGCGUGAGUGAUGAAGGCCUUCGGGUCGUAAAGCUCUGUCGGGAGGGAAGAACACCUUCGGGUCUGACGGUACCUCCCGAGGAAGCACAGGCUAACUCCGUGCCAGCAGCCGCGGUAAUACGGGAGUGUGCAAGCGUUGUUCGGAAUUACUGGGCGUAAAGCGCGCGUAGGCGGCUUGGUAAGUCAGAUGUGAAAUCCCUCGGCUCAACCGAGGAACUGCAUUUGAAACUGCCAGGCUUGAGUACGGGAGGGGGAAGCGGAAUUCCCAGUGUAGAGGUGAAAUUCGUAGAUAUUGGGAGGAACACCAGCGGCGAAGGCGGCUUCCGGGACCGAUACUGACGCUGAGGCGCGAAAGCGUGGGGAGCAAACAGGAUUAGAUAUCCCAGUAGUC
rnacentral:rRNA from 1 species